GUGGUGUCGUCCUCCCACGCAUUCCAGAGGUGGAAGCAGAAGCAGCCGGGGACCUCCACCCACCAGAGCUCCGACGCGUCGGCGGCAACCAACGAACAAGCACCGGGCUGGGCAUGUGUGGAUUCUAAUGCUCAGGCACAACGGCCGGCGGUGGCUAGAGCACAUGGGAGAACGAAGGGAGAGCAUGUGGAGGGCUGGUUGCCCGUUUCCUCGUCGUUCGCCGCGAGGCGCUGGCUGCUGAUGGAGGGCGGCGGGGCGUCAGGAGUGGAGCUAGGCGGCGGUGGGCAACGAGAAAUGGCAGUCGCCAUUGGCUGCCGCGGAGGUGAAGGCAUGCGCCGUGGCGGUGGCUCGCCACUCACGGACGACGCUGGUGGUGAGGGCAGGACUAGCUCUAAGUCAUGGCUCCUCAGGGCGAUGACGUCCCAUGUGAGGUCGGUGGUCCCCAGUGUCCUCAAUGGAGCGUCGACAAAGGCAAACACUAGGAAGAGGAAGACAAGAGAAGGGAGGGGACGCGCAAGAUUGUGGACAAGCUCCGCCACCGCUCUCCCCUACCGGGCACCGGUUGUGCCGCGCGUCUCCUAUCUUCCCCGGCCUAUGCCCGUCUUCACCACCAAGCGCCUUCACAUCUCUUCUCCCCUGCCGGUAGCCGCCCGUCUUCGCCAUUGA
rnacentral:lncRNA from 1 species